rnacentral:rRNA from 1 species
UACGGAGGGGGCUAGCGUUGUUCGGAAUUACUGGGCGUAAAGCGCACGUAGGCGGAACAGAAAGUCAGAGGUGAAAUCCCAGGGCUCAACCUUGGAACUGCCUUUGAAACUCCUGUUCUUGAGUUCGAGAGAGGUGAGUGGAAUUCCGAGUGUAGAGGUGAAAUUCGUAGAUAUUCGGAGGAACACCAGUGGCGAAGGCGGCUCACUGGCUCGAUACUGACGCUGAGGUGCGAAAGCGUGGGGAGCAAACAGG